UUGGCCCUGAAUCAAGGCAAACAGUUGGCCGAAGCUGUUGGUUUCAAGGAGAGGCCUAAAGAAAUGUCUUUCUGUGACCUGUUGGCCAUUUCAGAAAUUAAUGUAAUGGUCAAUUCAUCAGAAAGAGACAUGU
ensembl:snoRNA